UAGUUCCUCCUCAAAUCACAGCCAAUCUACUUCCUGUAAAUUCCUGUAUAGCUCUGCACAUGGGCUGAUGAAGAAGAAAAGCUCAAAGAAGAAGCAUACAGCUGGCUCACUUCAUGGACGUCCUGAGCUCCACCUAAUGUUUGGCUGCGGGGCUUAGUAUCUGCUCCCAUCAGUUGCUAGAUGAAUUCCCUCUGGUUGUCUUGAUAAUGAUUCUGCUGGACCAUGGUUCCAGAACACUCUGAAGAUUGGAAAAACUAUAGAUCAAAGGUUUUAUGGCUGGUUAAUUACAGAUGGAAUCAACUUGGCAACCAAAAAUACCCAUCACAGAUAAUACCCCUGACAUUUAUCCUGGAAAUCGUUCCUAGAAGAUGGCAUGGGAGCCAUGGAAUCUGGAGUAAAGAUUGGUCAUGACCAACCAUAUGGGAGCUGAACUCUAUCUUUUGGAAGAGAACACAGUACUCUUAAUUGCUUAACCAUCUGUCCAUCACUAUUGUGCCCAGUCUUUCAAAACUAAGAACAUGUCCUCACCCAACCUGCAACAUGGGUUCGAAGUCUUAUGAUUUUUCAAACAUCUGAAAUGACAAGACCACAGUCAGAAGUAUAAUACCUAACAUCCUAAGGACUAGAGAGAACCAAGAGAGAUGGAACUGGGAUCAGUUAAAGUGCUUCCCUGAUGGAUAACUGUCCACUGUUCUUCUAAGAAGCUGAUGCAACUGACAUCAUUUAGAAAAUGAUUUUAUUUCAACAGUAAACUGAGUUGAAAAUGGCAUCGACCAUGUCACAUCUUCUUCUACAAAGACCAAUGCAGUAAUUACUUUUCUAAACAGAUGGUAAGAAAAAUAAUUUGCUUAGAAGAGGAUCUCUGUUUGGCCUUUCGGGGGAUGCUGAACAUCUCUGAAUAUAAACAUGGAAACCUUCCAUAACAUCUGCUGCUAAUUUCUGCCAGCUGAAAAGUGAUAAUGAUGAUGAAUACUUUUGUUGAUGAUGUGGAUACAUUGGUCUAACUAAAUUAACUUGCAGACUCAGGGCAUAUAAUUGAAAACACAUGAUUUGUGGUAUCACCUGGUUGGCUUUAUGGGUAGUUACAUAUUUAAUUGUUCCAAUACGUUUAACUUUAAAAAGCUAAAAGGGUAAAAUAAACCAGAAUAUUGGUAUAAUGUCAGGCUGAAUAUAGCUUGCUUAUUUGAUCAUCAUCAAAUAUUUUUGAAGGCAAAAAUUGACUGAAAAUUGUAUACUUAAGAUACUAACUUGCAAUUAUUGAUGAAGGGUGGUGAUAAUUAAGGUUUUCAGCUAGCCUGAAACUUCUUACUGUUAGCCUAAUCAAGUUUUGUUUUAUAGUGGACAAAGGUUUGGGUUGUUGCUGAAGCCAAAAUGUUUUCCUUACAGAACUUCCACC
rnacentral:lncRNA from 1 species